CAAAUAAACACCGAUUUCAUUUAUUUUCAUCAUUCAAAUUCAGACACCGCUUAAAGCAUUAGCAUUAGAUAGAUCUAAAACAAAGAAAAAGAAGAAGAAGAAGAAACUCUUUUAUCAAAGACAACAAUGCCUUCCACUGAAGGAGACUUAGAUCUUAGGCCAUCUUCUCAUUCUGCUUUCACAACCGGAGAAUACACAUUCGCCGAUGUAAACAAUUUGGAACAUUGUGCUAAGUAUCUGAACCAAUCACUCGUUACAUUUGGUUUUCCCGCUUCACUCGAUCUAUUCUCAAACGAUCCCGUUUCUAUAGCGAGGACGUGCAAUUGCAUAUACUUCUUGCUUCAGCAGAGACAGCGUGAUGUCGAAUUUAGAGAGUCUGCCAAUGAACAAAGACAACGAUUGUUGUCGGAUAUAUCGAGAUAUGAGGCUAAAGUUGAGAGACUUGAUGGACAAUUACAAGCUAAAGAUAGAGAGAUAGCGACGAUAACUAGAACGGAAGCUAAAAAUACUGCAGCUCUCAAGGCUCAAAUUGAGAAGCUGCAAAAAGAGAGGGAUGAAUUUCAGAGGAUGGUUAUUGGCAAUCAGCAAGUUAGGACUCAACAAAUACAUGAGAUGAAGAAGAAGGAAAAGGAAUACAUUAAGUUGCAGGAGAGACUAAACCAAGUGUUGAUGGAGAAGAAGAAAGAAUCUAGGUCGGGCAUGGAGAUAAUGAAUUUGCUUCAGAAGGAAGGGAGGCAACGUGGAACAUGGAAUGGGAAGAAAACUGACAAUGAUUUUUAUAAAAAGAUUGUGGACGCUUAUGAGGUGAAAAAUCAAGAACUGAUAGCAGAAAAUGCUGAUUUAAGGGCAUUAUUGAGAUCAAUGCAGGUUGAUAUGCGUGAUUUCUUAAAUGCUCCUAAUGGACUACCAAAUCAAUCUCCCACUACUAACGAAAGAUCUGAAAGUAAUCCUUCACAUUCUCCGCUGGUUGGAAGAACGGACGUAUUUGAUCUUCCUUUUCACAUGGCAAGAGAUCAAAUUGAAGAGAGUCUAAGAGCGAAGAUGGCUUCUAUAAAGGAGCGCAUGGUCCAACUGCAAGAUGCUCAGAAAGAGGCCGAAGUCACUUCGGAAGCUACCGAGAGAGAACUUGAGCUUGAAGCUCAACUUGUUGAAGCAAGGAGCAUUAUACAAGAGCAGGCUUCUAUAAUGUCUAAACAUCUUGCAAAGUCUGACAGGCCAAGGGAAUCGGCUCCGGCUGAGGGGUAGUGCUAGACUGGGAGCACAUGUUGGUGUAGAAACGGUGUUGAUGAUGGCAUUUAGCAUCAACCUUUUGUGAGGGAGUAUGCAACUAACAUGGCUGAGCGUACUCAGGUUUCAUGCUUGUCAUUAUUAAUUAAGUUUAACUAUAUUGGCUCGUAGUGGAGCAUGCUUGCUUUUAGCCCGUGUAACUAAUCUUGCUUGUCAAUUCUUCACUGCCCCCCUUAGUUCUUAUGUAAAAGGCCAUGGUAUGGUCGAAUGUCGUUGUUGUUAGUAAUAAUAUAGUGAUAUUGUAAUCUUGGAGGUGCUUCUAGAGAAAAAAAGUUAGUAAUGUCUCGAUGGUUCACUCAAACUUGCAUGGCAUUUAAAAUUGGUAGCUAGGAAGAUUUUGAGUUAGUAGUAAUUAUAAAGUAUGAUUCAUUACA